rnacentral:rRNA from 1 species
AUUGAACGCUGGCGGUAUGCUUAACACAUGCAAGUCGAACGGUAGCAGGCCUUCGGGCGCUGACGAGUGGCGGACGGGUGAGUAACGCGUAGGAAUCUGCCUCAUAGUGGGGGACAACGUGGGGAAACUCACGCUAAUACCGCAUACGCCCUACGGGGAAAGCGGGGAGUCUUCGGACCUCGCGCUAUGAGAUGAGCCCUGCGUUAGAUUAGCUAGUUGGUAGGGUAAAGGCCUACCAAGGCGACGAUCUAUAGCUGGUCUGAGAGGACGAUCAGCCACACUGGGACUGAGACACGGCCCAGACUCCUACGGGAGGCAGCAGUGGGGAAUAUUGGACAAUGGGCGCAAGCCUGAUCCAGCAAUACCGCGUGUGUGAAGAAGGCCUUAGGGUUGUAAAGCACUUUCAAUUGGGAGGAAAACCUGUCGGUCAAUACCCGGCAGCUUGACAUUACCUUUAGAAGAAGCACCGGCUAACUCCGUGCCAGCAGCCGCGGUAAACA